AAUAAUAAUAAUGACAACGCAUCCUCACACAUGAUGCAGCUGCUGUUUUUUUUUUUUUUUUUUUUUUUUUUUUUUUUUUUUGUAUA
rnacentral:ribozyme from 14 species